rnacentral:rRNA from 1 species
UGGGGAAUAUUGGACAAUGGGGGCAACCCUGAUCCAGCCAUGCCGCGUGAGUGAUGAAGGCCUUCGGGUUGUAAAGCUCUUUUGGCGGGGACGAUGAUGACGGUACCCGCAGAAUAAGCCCCGGCUAACUUCGUGCCAGCAGCCGCGGUAAGACGAAGGGGGCUAGCGUUGUUCGGAAUUACUGGGCGUAAAGCGAGUGUAGGUGGUUGUUCAAGUUGGAUGUGAAAGCCUUGAGCUCAACUCAAGAAAUGCAUUCAGGACUGAGCGACUAGAGGACCGGAGAGGAUAGUGGAAUUCCCAGUGUAGUGGUGAAAUACGUAGAGAUUGGGAAGAACACCAGUGGCGAAGGCGGCUAUCUGGACGGUUUCUGACACUAAGACUCGAAAGCGUGGGGAGCAAACA